rnacentral:rRNA from 1 species
GACGAACGCUGGCGGCGUGCCUAAUACAUGCAAGUAGGACGCACAGUCUAUACCGUAGCUUGCUACACCAUAGGCUGUGAGUUGCGAACGGGUGAGUAACGCGUAGGUAACCUGCCUAUUAGAGGGGGAUAACUAUUGGAAACGAUAGCUAAUACCGCAUAACAGUAUGUAACACAUGUUAGAUGCUUGAAAGAUGCAAUUGCAUCGCUAGUAGAUGGACCUGCGUUGUAUUAGCUAGUAGGUAGGGUAAUGGCCUACCUAGGCGACGAUACAUAGCCGACCGGAGAGGGUGAUCGGCCACACUGGGACUGAGACACGGCCCAGACUCCUACGGGAGGCAGCAGUAGGGAAUCUUCGGCAAUGGGGGGAACCCUGACCGAGCAACGCCGCGUGAGUGAAGAAGGGUUUCGGAUCGUAAAGCUCGGUUGUUAAGGAAGAACGAGUGUGAGAAUGGAAAGUUCAUACUGUGACGGUACUUAACCAGAAAGGGACGGCUAACUACGUG